GAUGAACGCUGGCGGCGUGCCUAAUACAUGCAAGUCGAGCGAACAGACGAGGAGCUUGCUCCUCUGACGUUAGCGGCGGACGGGUGAGUAACACGUGGAUAACCUACCUAUAAGACUGGGAUAACUUCGGGAAACCGGAGCUAAUACCGGAUAAUAUAUUGAACCGCAUGGUUCAAUAGUGAAAGACGGUUUUGCUGUCACUUAUAGAUGGAUCCGCGCCGCAUUAGCUAGUUGGUAAGGUAACGGCUUACCAAGGCAACGAUGCGUAGCCGACCUGAGAGGGUGAUCGGUCACACUGGAACUGAGACACGGUCCAGACUCCUACGGGAGGCAGCAGUAGGGAAUCUUCCGCAAUGGGCGAAAGCCUGACGGAGCAACGCCGCGUGAGUGAUGAAGGUCUUCGGAUCGUAAAACUCUGUUAUUAGGGAAGAGCAAAUGUGUAAGUAACUAUGCACGUCUUGACGGUACCUAAUCAGAAAGCCACGGCUAACUACGUG
rnacentral:rRNA from 1 species